AUUCGAGAGCGGCCAGAAGAAUGGUAGGCUAGAGCUUUAUCGAUGAUGGCAAGGGUGACUUUUAUUACAUCGAUCUUCAGUGCCAUCUCUAUUUACAUGUUGGCCCAUACUAUCAUCCUAAGAGCCUCCCUUUUGAAGCUUGAGCAGCUUUUUAAAAUUUUUUUGUGGGGCUCUCAUCGCAGAGGAAGAGAAGUGCACCGCCUCAUAUGGGGUGUCAUAUAUCAACCAACCUGAGAGAGGGCUUGUAUUCAUUCCCUGU
rnacentral:lncRNA from 1 species